rnacentral:rRNA from 1 species
AUUGAACGCUGGCGGCACGCUUUACACAUGCAAGUCGAACGGUAACAGGGUGCUUGCACCGCUGACGAGUGGCGAACGGGUGAGUAAUGCGUCGGAACGUGCCGAGUAGUGGGGGAUAACGCAUCGAAAGGUGUGCUAAUACCGCAUACGUACUGAGGUAGAAAGUGGGGGACCUUCGGGCCUCACGCUAUUCGAGCGGCCGACGGCUGAUUAGCUAGUUGGUGAGGUAAAGGCUCACCAAGGCGACGAUCAGUAGCGGGUCUGAGAGGAUGAUCCGCCAAACAGGGAGUGAGACACGGCCCGGACUCCUACGGGAGGCAGCAGUGGGGAAGUUUGGAAAAUGGGCGCAAGCCUGAUCCAGCCAUGCCGCGUGUCUGAAGAAGGCCUUCGGGUUGUAAAGGACUUUUGUCCGGGAGCAAAUGCCUGGUGUUAAUAGCACUGGGAGCGGAGAGUACCGGAAGAAUAAGCACCGGCUAACUACGUGCCAGCCGCCGCGGUAACAC